UCGCCGCCGGCGACGUCGCGAGAAGUCCACUGAACCUUAUCAUUUAGAGGAAGGAGAAGUCGUAACAAGGUUUCCGUAGGUGAACCUGCGGAAGGAUCAUUGUCGAUGCCUGCAAAGCAGAACGACCCGCGAACCGUUUCUCGACAGUCGGGGCACCGGUGGGCGUUCAUUCGACCGCCCGGUACCCCGGCGCUCCGGCCGCUGGGGGUGCGAGCCGCCCCCGGCGGAUGGAGCAUCAAACAAAACCCCGGCGUGCAAAGCGCCAAGGUACUCCAACGGUAGGGCAAGCGCCCGAACGCCUGGACUCCAGUGCGAUCGGGCGUCUGUUCGGUAUCAUAAAUCUAAACGACUCUCGGCAACGGAUAUCUAGGCUCUCGCAUCGAUNNNNNNCGCAGCGAAAUGCGAUACUUGGUGUGAAUUGCAGAAUCCCGUGAACCAUCGAGUCUUUGAACGCAAGUUGCGCCCGAAGCCUUGGCUGAGGGCACGCCUGCCUGGGUGUCACACGUCGCUUCGCCUCCAAAACCUUCCCCCUUGCGGUGAUGGUAUGGAUGCGGAAGAUGGCCUCCCGUGACCGCGAGCCACGGAUGGCCCAAGUCUUUGCUGGGGGAGCGAAGCGCCACGGCUUUCGGUGGUCGGUACUGCCCUCGAGGCAAUCAAUCAAGCCCGUGGUAGCCGCGACAGCCCCCGGUGUACGGCCCUAAUCAUUAGAACAACCAACGCGACCUCAGGUCAGGCGGGGCUACCCGCUGAGUUUAAGCAUAUCAAUAAGCGGAGG
rnacentral:rRNA from 1 species